UACACAUCAUGACGUAUAUGAUAGAUCUCACUGUCGAAACAUAUGAUAUUCUACUCAUACGCUCGCUCUCUUGAGGGAUUGUCGGAUAAUCCUUCUUGGAGAGAGUGUUAGAUGUAUAUCCUAGAAGUCAAUAUAGUUGACACAUUGUGAUAUAGCUAGGAUGUAAUUUUAUACUUAAUAUAUAGAUUUGAUUAAUAAAAAGGUAAGUUUUAAUUUUUAUUCAAGUGUGAUGUGACCUUGA
rnacentral:lncRNA from 1 species